GACUAAAAUUAUAAAAAAAAAUGCUAAAAUUUGUAACAUAAAAUAAAUAUACUAUAAAAAAUAUAAUUAAGGAAGAAUCUAAUAAUACUUAGUUAGUAUUAUAAUAAUAAUUAUUUUAUUAUGUAAAUUUAGUUAAAUUUAGAAUAAUUUGACUCUUCAAGAUUCUUAGAAUGACUUACGAUCUGAGACCGUAUCAUACAAUGAACCGAUGAAGCUACGACAGACACCAGACAAUGAACAAAAAAAAAAAGGUUCAAAUCCAUACAGCAGCAUGCAAAUAAUGCAUAUACAGUGCUUGGACAUCGAGUCGGAGUGUGGUAUAAACAGUACAUUGUACAAUAAAUUAAAAGAAAAAACUCUGCC
rnacentral:lncRNA from 1 species